GGCGGCUCACUCAGGACCCAGCGGGGGCAGCGCGAUGAGGCGGGUGACCCUGUUCCUGAACGGCAGCCCCAAGAACGGAAAGUGUAAGAGACUUAAAUGAAUAUGACUGAUUGUCACACAAAAAAGGUGUGUGUCCUACUUCAACACUCAACAUUAAAGAAAUAUUUAUCAAAGACCUGCUGUAAGCCAGGUGGUUGCUGUAUAUGGAACUUUAUCUGAUUUGCUUUCUGUGGCCAGCAGUAAACUCGGCAUAAAAGCCACCAGUGUGUAUAAUGGGAAAGGUGGACUGAUUGAUGAUAUUGCUUUGAUCAGGGAUGAUGAUGUUUUGUUUGUUUGUGAAGGAGAGCCAUUUAUUGAUCCUCAGACAGAUUCUAAGCCUCCUGAAGGACUGUUAGGAUUCCACACA
rnacentral:sRNA from 1 species